rnacentral:rRNA from 1 species
CUACGGGGUGCUGCAGUGAGGAAUAUUGCACAAUGGGGGGAACCCUGAUGCAGCAACGCCGCGUGGAGGAUGACGCAUUUCGGUGUGUAAACUCCUUUUAUAUGUCAAGAAAAUGACGGUAGCAUAUGAAUAAGCACCGGCUAACUCCGUGCCAGCAGCCGCGGUAAUACGGAGGGUGCAAGCGUUACUCGGAAUCACUGGGCGUAAAGGACGCGUAGGCGGGUUGGAAAGUCAGGUGUGAAAUCCUACAGCUUAACUGUAGAACUGCACUUGAAACUUCUAAUCUAGAGUAUAGGAGGGGGAGAUGGAAUUAGUGGUGUAGGGGUAAAAUCCGUAGAUGUCACUAGGAAUACCUAAAGCGAAGGCGAUCUCCUGGAACAUUACUGACGCUAAGGCGUGAAAGCGUGGGGAGCAAACAGGAUUAGAUACCCGUGUAGUC